GAUGAACGCUAGCGGCAGGCUUAACACAUGCAAGUCGUGGGGCAGCGCGGACUUCGGUCUGGCGGCGACCGGCAAACGGGUGCGGAACACGUACGCAACCUCCCUCAGAGCGGGGAAUAGCCUCUCGAAAGAGAGAUUAAUACCCCAUAGUAUCUUGAAGACACAUGUCUAUGAGAUUAAAGCUUCGGCACUUUGAGAUGGGCGUGCGGCUGAUUAGGUAGUUGGUAGGGUAACGGCCUACCAAGCCGACGAUCAGUAGCUGAUGUGAGAGCAUGAUCAGCCACACGGGCACUGAGACACGGGCCCGACUCCUACGGGAGGCAGCAGUGAGGAAUAUUGGUCAAUGGAGGAAACUCUGAACCAGCCAUGCCGCGUGGAGGAUGAAGGUCCUCUGGAUUGUAAACUCCUUUUAUAAAAGAAGAAACCCCAUUUUUCUAAAUGGGUUGACGGUACUUUAUGAAUAAGCACGGCUAACUCCGUGCCAGCAGCCG
rnacentral:rRNA from 1 species